rnacentral:rRNA from 1 species
AAAGGAAUAGACGGGGGCUCACACAAGCGGUGGAGGAUGUGGUUUAAUUCGAAGCAACGCGCAGAACCUUACCAGGUCUUGACAUGCUGGGAUUAAUUGGAUGAAAGUCCGAAGAUUGCCCGCAAGGGUGUAACCAGCACAGGUGCUGCAUGGCUGUCGUCAGCUCGUGCCGUGAGGUGUCAGGUUAAGUCCUUUAACGAGCGAAACCCCUAUGUCGAGUUGCCAGCGGGUAAAGCCGGGAACUCUCGACAGACUGCCGCGCAAGCUGGAGGAGGGAGGGGACGACGUCAAGUCAUCAUGGCCUUUAUGACCUGGGCCACACACGUCCUACAAUGGGUGGUACAACGGGAAGCUAAACCGCGAGGUCGAGCCAAUCCCUGAAAGCCACCCUCAGUUCGGAUUGCGGGCUGCAAUUCGCCCGCAUGAAGCUGGAAUCGCUAGUAAUCGCGGAUCAGCCACGCCGCGGUGAAUAUGUUCCUGAGCCUUGUACACACCGCCCGU